GAUGAACGCUGGCGGCGUGCCUAAUACAUGCAAGUCGAGCGAACAGACGAGGAGCUUGCUCCUCUGACGUUAGCGGCGGACGGGUGAGUAACACGUGGAUAACCUACCUAUAAGACUGGGAUAACUUCGGGAAACCGGAGCUAAUACCGGAUAAUAUAUUGAACCGCAUGAUUCAAUAGUGAAAGACGGUUUUGCUGUCACUUACAGAUGGAUCCGCGCCGCAUUAGCUAGUUGGUAAGGUAACGGCUUACCAAGGCAACGAUGCGUAGCCGACCUGAGAGGGUGAUCGGCCACACUGGAACUGAGACACGGUCCAGACUCCUACGGGAGGCAGCAGUAGGGAAUCUUCCGCAAUGGGCGAAAGCCUGACGGAGCAACGCCGCGUGAGUGAUGAAGGUCUUCGGAUCGUAAAACUCUGUUAUUAUGGAAGAACAAAUGUGUAAGUAACUAUGCACGUCUUGACGGUACCUAAUCAGAAAGCCACGGCUAACUACGUG
rnacentral:rRNA from 1 species